rnacentral:rRNA from 1 species
AACGAACGCUGGCGGCAUGCCUAACACAUGCAAGUCGAACGAGACCAAGGCUUCGGCCUGAAGUCUAGUGGCGCACGGGUGCGUAACGCGUGGGAAUCUACCCUUGGGUUCGGAAUAACAGUUAGAAAUGACUGCUAAUACCGGAUGAUGACGUAAGUCCAAAGAUUUAUCGCCCAGGGAUGAGCCCGCGUAAGAUUAGCUUGUUGGUGAGGUAAAGGCUCACCAAGGCGACGAUCUUUAGCUGGUCUGAGAGGAUGAUCAGCCACACUGGGACUGAGACACGGCCCAGACUCCUACGGGAGGGCAGCAGUGGGGAAGUAAUUGGACAAUGGGCGAAAGCCUGAUCCAGCAAUGCCGCGUGAGUGAUGAAGG